rnacentral:lncRNA from 1 species
GCUAAUUGAACUAAAAUGAUUGCAAUGAGCCAAAAUGUGUGGAGCUCAGAUUGUGACUAACUUAAGCCAUAUCUAGUUAGCAUAGCGUAGCUCGAUUCUAUGAUCUACUCCUGGACAUGACUUGAAAUGAGAUGGAAGACCAUGUGAAGCUAUAGGGAUACAUGCUGAUACAUAAUUAGCUUCACAUCUAGUGAACGGCCAUGUACACUAAUGCAUGCAGGCACA